CCUACGGGGGGCUUCAGUGGGGGAUAUUGCACAAUGGGGGAAACCCUGAUGCAGCGACGCCGCGUGUGGGAAGACGGUCCUCUGGAUUGUAAACCACUGUCCCCAGGGACGAAGAUGACGGUACCUGGGGAGGAAGCUCCGGCUAACUACGUGCCAGCAGCCGCGGUAAUACGUAUGGUGCAAGCGUUAUCCGGAUUUACUGGGUGUAAAGGGAGCGCAGGCGGCACGGCAAGCCUGAUGUGAAAGCCCGCGGCCCAACCGCGGGACUGCAUUGGGAACUACCGGGCUGGAGUGCCGGAGAGGUAGGCGGAAUUCCUAGUGUAGCGGUGAAAUGCGUAGAUAUUAGGAGGAACACCAGUGGCGAAGGCGGCCUGCUGGACGACAACUGACGGUGAGGCGCGAAAGCGUGGGGAGCAAACAGGAUUAGAUACCCGUGUAGUC
rnacentral:rRNA from 1 species